rnacentral:rRNA from 1 species
AUUGAACGCUGGCGGCAUGCUUUACACAUGCAAGUCGAACGGUAACAGGCCGCAAGGUGCUGACGAGUGGCGAACGGGUGAGUAAUGCAUCGGAACGUGCCCAGUCGUGGGGGAUAACGCAGCGAAAGCUGUGCUAAUACCGCAUACGAUCUAUGGAUGAAAGCGGGGGACCGUAAGGCCUCGCGCGAUUGGAGCGGCCGAUGUCAGAUUAGCUAGUUGGUGGGGUAAAGGCCCACCAAGGCGACGAUCUGUAGCUGGUCUGAGAGGACGACCAGCCACACUGGGACUGAGACACGGCCCAGACUCCUACGGGAGGCAG